rnacentral:rRNA from 1 species
GACGAACGCUGGCGGCGUGCUUAACACAUGCAAGUCGAACGGAAAGGUCCUGCUUUUGUGGGGUGCUCGAGUGGCGAACGGGUGAGUAACACGUGAGUAACCUGCCCUUGACUUUGGGAUAACUUCAGGAAACUGGGGCUAAUACCGGAUAGGAGAUCCUGCUGCACGGUGGGGGUUGGAAAGAUUCGGCGGUUGGGGAUGGACUCGCGGCUUAUCAGCUUGUUGGUGGGGUAGUGGCUUACCAAGGCUUUGACGGGUAGCCGGCCUGAGAGGGUGACCGGCCACAUUAGGACUGAGAUACGGCCCAGUCUCCUACGGGAGGCAGCAGUGGGGAAUAUUGCACAAUGGGCGGAAGCCUGAUGCAGCAACGCCGCGUGCGGGAUGACGGCCUUCGGGUUGUAAACCGCUUUCGCCUGUGACGAAGCGUGAGUGACGGUAAUGGGUAAGGAAGCACCGGCUAACUACGUG